rnacentral:rRNA from 1 species
CCUACGGGAGGCAGCAGUGGGGGAUAUUGCACAAUGGGGGAAACCCUGAUGCAGCGACGCCGCGUGGGUGAAGAAGCGCCUCGGCGCGUAAAGCCCUGUCAGCAGGGAAGAAAAUGACGGUACCUGAAGAAGAAGCCCCGGCUAACUACGUGCCAGCAGCCGCGGUAAUACGUAGGGGGCAAGCGUUAUCCGGAUUUACUGGGUGUAAAGGGGGCGCAGACGGCGAUGCAAGCCAGGAGUGAAAGCCCGGGGCCCAACCCCGGGACUGCUUGUGGAACUGGGUGGCUAGAGUGCAGGAGGGGCAGGCGGAAUUCCUGGUGUAGCGGUGAAAUGCGUAGAUAGCAGGAGGAACACCGGUGGCGAAGGCGGCCUGCUGGACUGCAACUGACGUUGAGGCCCGAAAGCGUGGGGAGCAAACAGGAUUAGAUACCCGUGUAGUC